CUUUUAUAUAGGCCCUUCCAAUCACAUGAUGCGAGCGCGGAUUACACGAACUCGCGAGUGGGUCAGCUGUGUGAGAGAUCAAGUGAGAGAUCUUAUUAUUCCUCUUGAAAGUACCUCAAAAACUCAUGUCUUGUCUAGCUAGGUUCUCUAAAGAUAGCCCUGUUCCUAUUUAUCAGUAGAGAUAGGAGUGGACCGUCCGAUGGCAGCUUGUUUGAGAGAGCAAGUUCAACCCGGCCUUGGACCCAAGUUGGAGAGAGAUCUCAUAGUCAUACGGAAACAACAACAACAGAUUUUGAUACAGAAGAUGGCAGAGCGGACUGCACACAUGGACCUGAACUUCUUGACCACAGCAUGAACUUGAUGAAGUAGUGGUGGAAGAAUUCACAUGGUAUAACCUCCUUGGGGACGGAAUGGGGAAAACUUUUCCAGUCCCCAGCUGCAAAAUUCCUUCAAAGGACCGAAGGAAAGGUGCUGACUACAACCCUGUGUCAUAGAUAUAAAAAAGAAUACUUGAAGUGUAAAACCGCAAAACUGCUACAAAUACAACAGCCAACAGACCAACUCCUCUACUAUAGCCUAGAGCCAACAUGUCCCCCAAACGCCCAAGGAAAUUCUACAACAGGCCCCGAGUCGUGCGGUUGAAAUUAUUAUUGACGAAUGAAGACCUUUAUUGCACAUUUUUGCCACACCGGGCUAAGAACAGGUCAGUACAAGACUUGUUGAAAAGAUUCAGAUAACUGAUACAAAAUGAAGUUGGAUACAUUCAACUUCUCCUGGCUUUUCUGUCAUACUCAUAGUGAAGAUAAAUUGUUGUUUAUUGCAAAUUCUUGCCCGUGGUUUGUCUAUUUGCAUUAGGAAUAUGAAUUUUUCUACAGCACUUAGGUGUGUGAAAUAAGGAAAUAGGUUUCGUCUGCACUAUACUACAAAAUGACAUUCAUCCUCUAUUCUUGAGAAGGAAUGUGUGACCCUCCUAAUUUGCAUAGGCCAUAAAGAUGAAAGUCAGGCCUGGCAUCUAGACUUUACUUUUUGGAUUAGCUGCUAAGGUGUGGACCACCCAGUUUGGUUUUUCUUUUACCAACAAGGCUAGUAGAAACAAGGUAAGAUUCUAGAGCUUAGAAACAAAACUUACCACAAUGUACAGCUGCGACCCAACACUAUAUUAAGGGUGUGACCUGUCCUGUGGUACUUCAUGUUGUUGUGUAAGGCUGUCCCAACAUCUAUGCCCAGAUGUUGGCAGUGAUGUGAAAUGCAGUUGGCAGUGUUUAAGAGAUUUUUGCCACCCAUGAGGUAAAGUUUGAAUGCUCUUGACUUUGGUCCUGGCUAGGGGUGGGUAUUGGUACAGAAUACAGGUGAUGACCAGGUCCAGACCUGAACCUGGACCUAACUGUUAAGUACUAGUACCCAAAUAUGCUGUGUUGUAGCCUAAUAAUAAUUGUACUUGUAGAAGUGACACAUGCGAGGUGCCCAGGACUUAUUGGA